UACGGAGGGUGCAAGCGUUAUCCGGAUUUACUGGGUUUAAAGGGUGUGUAGGCGGGCUUUUAAGUCGUGGUGAAUCAUCGGCCGUCAACCCGGAAACUGCCAUUGAUACUAUUAGUCUUGAAUUUUGUUGAGGUAGGCGGAAUAAGUCAUGUAGCGGUGAAAUGCUUAGAUAUGACUUAGAACACCAAUUGCGAAGGCAGCUUGCUAAACAAAUAUUGACGCUGAGGCACGAAAGCGUGGGGAUCAAACAGG
rnacentral:rRNA from 1 species